rnacentral:rRNA from 1 species
GAGGAAUAUUGGUCAAUGGGCGCGAGCCUGAACCAGCCAAGUAGCGUGAAGGAUGACUGGCCUCUGGGUUGUAAAAUUCUUUUUUUAGGGGAAAAAAUGAGGCGCGGGGGGCUUAUUGUAUUUUCCUUUGGAAUAAGCAUCGGCUCACUCCGUGCCAGCAGCCGCGGUAAUACGGAGGAUGCAAGCGUUAUCCGGAUUUAUUGGGUUUAAAGGGAGCGUAGGCGGACUAUUAAGUCAGCUGUGAAAGUUUACGGCUCAACCGUGAAAUUGCAGUUGAAACUGGUCGUCUUGAGUGCAGUAAAGGUGGGCGGAAUUCGUGGUGUAGCGGUGAAAUGCUUAGAUAUCACGAAGAACUCCAAUUGCGAAGGCAGCUCACUGGAGUGUAACUGACGCUGAUGCUCGAAAGUGUGGGUAUCAAACA